rnacentral:lncRNA from 1 species
CUCAGAUAAUUGACCAGAUAACUGGAUGAGGGAUCUGCGUAAAGUAGUCAACCUCUGUAUUUGACCAGAUAACUGGAAGAGGGAUCUUUUUAAUUAAGUGUUGUUUUUAGAUAAAAGAUAAAACUAUAAUUAACAGAGAACAACACAAGAGAUUUAUACUGGUUCACCCAAACAAGGGCUAGUCCAGUCCCGACCAACUGCCGAAAUUCACUCGCCUAAAGGUAAUGGCAAAACCUUAGAGUAUCAAGGAAACUCUUAAGAACCUCUCUAAGCUUUAAGGCUACUUCGCUUAGGAACCAGUCUUUUACGGGUAGACUCACACCUUAGAGUAUCAAGGGUACUCUUAAGAACCUCUAACUUUUGCGGGUAAGUUAGUACCUUAGAGUAUCAAGGAACUCUUAAAAACCUCUCUAAGCUUUAAGGCUACUUCGCUGAGGAACCAGUCUUUUACGGGUAGACUCACACCUUAGAGUAACAAGGGCCCUCUUAAGAACCUCUAACUUUUACAGGUAAGUUAGUACCUUAGAGUAUCAAGGAACUCUUAAAAACCACUGAAAUCUUUAAAGGUAGACUCGACCUAAGAGUUUUCCCGGAAACUCUAUAAAACCAAACUAGAGCUUUAUGGUUGAGCUCACAAACCUUCUCUCACACUUUGGUACUAUUGAGACAACCCUCUCAACCAAAGUGGACACACACAAGAGGUGAUUAGAGGAGUGGAAUAUUAAAGCAAACAACACUUCUUACUUGUAAAGAUGAACAAGAAGAUUAGAAGAAGAAGUUGGAGAGCUUUUGAAGCUUUGGAAAGCUAAUACACUUGAGCACUUGGAAGCUUGGAGGC